rfam:Zancudomyces culisetae strain COL-18-3 scaffold-1929, whole genome shotgun sequence.
AGAGCUGUGGUGUAGUGGCUAUCACGUCUGCUUCACACGCAGAAGGUCUUGGGUUCGAUCCCCAACAGUUCUA